rnacentral:rRNA from 1 species
UACAGAGGUCUCAAGCGUUGUUCGGAUUCAUUGGGCGUAAAGGGCGCGUAGGCGGCGGGGUAAGUCUGGUGUGAAAUCUAGGAGCUCAACUCCUAAACUGCACUGGAUACUGCUCUGCUAGAGGACUGGAGAGGAGACUGGAAUUCACGGUGUAGCAGUGAAAUGCGUAGAUAUCGUGAGGAAGACCAGUGGCGAAGGCGGGUCUCUGGACAGUUCCUGACGCUGAGGCACGAAGGCCAGGGGAGCAAACGGG